GACGAACGCUGGCGGCGUGCUUAACACAUGCAAGUCGAACGGAAAGGCCCUGCUUUUGUGGGGUGCUCGAGUGGCGAACGGGUGAGUAACACGUGAGUAACCUGCCCUUGACUUUGUGAUAACUUCAGGAAACUGGGGCUAAUACCGGAUAGGAGCUCCUGCUGCAUGGUGGGGGUUGGAAAGUUUCGGCGGUUGGGGAUGGACUCGCGGCUUAUCAGCUUGUUGGUGGGGUAGUGGCUUACCAAGGCUUUGACGGGUAGCCGGCCUGAGAGGGUGACCGGCCACAUUGGGACUGAGAUACGGACCAGACUCCUACGGGAGGCAGCAGUGGGGAAUAUUGCAGAAUGGGCGGAAGCCUGAUGCAGCAACGCCGCGUGCGGGAUGACGGCCUUCGGGUUGUAAACAGCUUUCGCCUGUGACGAAGCGUGAGUGACGGUAAUGGGUAAAGAAGCACCGGCUAACUACGUG
rnacentral:rRNA from 1 species